AGCCUGACGCAGCGAUGCCGCGUGAGUGGAAGAAGGCCUUCGGGUUGUAAACCUCUUUCGGGAGGGACGAAGCUACUCGGGUUAAUAGCCCAGAGGGUGACGGUACCUCCAGAAGAAGCCCCGGCUAACUACGUGCCAGCAGCCGCGGUAAUACGUAGGGGGCAAGCGUUGUCCGGAUUUAUUGGGCGUAAAGAGCGUGUAGGCGGCCUGAAAGGUCAGCUGUGAAAACUCGGGGCUCAACCCCGAGACGUCGGUUGAAACCAUCUGGCUAGAGUCCGGAAGAGGAGUGUGGAAUUCCCGGUGUAGCGGUGAAAUGCGCAAAUAUCGGGAAGAACACCCGUGGCGAAGGCGGCACUCUGGGACGGUACUGACGCUGAGACGCGAAAGCGUGGGGAGCGAACAGGAUUAGAUACCCUGGUAGUCCACGCCGUAAACGAUGGGUGCUAGGUGUGGGGGGUGUCGACUCCCUCCGUGCCGAAGCUAACGCAUUAAGCACCCCGCCUGGGGAGUACGGCCGCAAGGCUAAAACUCAA
rnacentral:rRNA from 1 species